rnacentral:tRNA from 1 species
GUCAGGAUGGCCGAGUGAUCUAAGGCGCCAGACUCAAGUUCUGGUCUUUUUGAGAGGGACGAGAGUUCAAAUCCUACUUCUGACA